AUGAACGCUAGCGGCAGGCUUAACACAUGCAAGUCGAGGGGCAGCAUAAUGGAUAGCAAUAUCUAUGGUGGCGACCGGCGCACGGGUGCGUAACGCGUAUGCAACCUACCUUUAACAGGGGGAUAACACUGAGAAAUUGGUACUAAUACCCCAUAAUAUCAUAGAAGGCAUCUUUUAUGGUUGAAAAUUCCGAUGGUUAGAGAUGGGCAUGCGUUGUAUUAGCUAGUUGGUGGGGUAACGGCUCACCAAGGCGACGAUACAUAGGGGGACUGAGAGGUUAACCCCCCACACUGGUACUGAGACACGGACCAGACUCCUACGGGAGGCAGCAGUGAGGAAUAUUGGUCAAUGGACGCAAGUCUGAACCAGCCAUGCCGCGUGCAGGAUGACGGCUCUAUGAGUUGUAAACUGCUUUUGUACGAGGGUAAACGCAGAUACGUGUAUCUGUCUGAAAGUAUCGUACGAAUAAGGAUCGGCUAACUCCGUGCCAGCAGCCGCGGUAAUACGGAGGAUUCAAGCGUUAUCCGGAUUUAUUGGGUUUAAAGGGUGCGUAGGCGGUUUGAUAAGUUAGAGGUGAAAUUUCGGGGCUCAACCCUGAACGUGCCUCUAAUACUGUUGAGCUAGAGAGUAGUUGCGGUAGGCGGAAUGUAUGGUGUAGCGGUGAAAUGCUUAGAGAUCAUACAGAACACCGAUUGCGAAGGCAGCUUACCAAACUAUAUCUGACGUUGAGGCACGAAAGCGUGGGGAGCAAACAGGAUUAGAUACCCUGGUAGUCCACACCGUAAACGAUGAUUACUAGGUGUUGGGGGAUUGACCCCCUCAGUGCCGCAGUUAACACAAUAAGUAAUCCACCUGGGGAGUACGACCGCAAGGUUGAAACUCAAAGGAAUUGACGGGGGCCCGCACAAGCGGAGGAACAUGUGGUUUAAUUCGAUGAUACGCGAGGAACCUUACCCGGGCUUGAAUUGCAACUGAAUGAUGUGGAGACAUGUCAGCCGCAAGGCAGUUGUGAAGGUGCUGCAUGGUUGUCGUCAGCUCGUGUCGUGAGAUGUUGGGUUAAGUCCCGCAACGAGCGCAACCCUUGUCACUAGUUGCUACGAAAGGGCACUCUAGUGAGACUGCCGGUGACAAACCGGAGGAAGGUGGGGAUGACGUCAAAUCAGCACGGCCCUUACGUCCGGGGCUACACACGUGUUACAAUGGUAGGUACAGAGGGCAGCUACCCAGCGAUGGGAUGCGAAUCUCGAAAGCCUAUCUCAGUUCGGAUUGGAGGCUGAAACCCGCCUCCAUGAAGUUGGAUUCGCUAGUAAUCGCGCAUCAGCCAUGGCGCGGUGAAUACGUUCCCGGGCCUUGUACACACCGCCCGUCACACCAUGGGAGUUGGUAACGCCCGAAGUCAGUGACCCAACCGUAAGGAGGGAGCUGCCGAAGGUGGGACCGAUAACUGGGGUG
rnacentral:rRNA from 1 species